rnacentral:rRNA from 1 species
AGAGUUUGAUCCUGGCUCAGGAUGAACGCUGGCGGUAUGCGUAACACAUGCAAGUCGAACGAAGUUUUUCGGAACUUAGUGGCGGACGGGUGAGUAACGCGUGAGAAUCUGCCUUAAGGAUUGGGACAACAGUGGGAAACCGCUGCUAAUACCAAAUAUGCCUUUUAGUGAAACGGGUAAAACCCGCCUUAAGAUGAGCUCGCGUCUGAUUAGCUAGUUGGUGUGGUAAGAGCGCACCAAGGCAACGAUCAGUAGCUGGUCUGAGAGGACGACCAGCCACACUGGGACUGAGACACGGCCCAGACUCCUACGGGAGGCAGCAGUGAGGAAUUUUCCGCAAUGGGCGAAAGCCUGACGGAGCAAUACCGCGUGAGGGAGGAAGGUUCUUGGAUUGUAAACCUCUUUUCUCAGAGAAGAAUAAUGACGGUAUCUGAGGAAUAAGCAUCGGCUAACUCCGUGCCAGCAGCCGCGGUAAUACGGAGGAUGCAAGCGUUAUCCGGAAUGAUUGGGCGUAAAGGGUCUGUAGGUGGUUGUUCAAGUCUGCUGUUAAAGCGUCUGGCUUAACCAGAUAAAGGCGGUGGAAACUGAACGACUAGAGUGCGGUAGGGGUAGAGGGAAUUCCCAGUGUAGCGGUGAAAUGCGUAGAUCUUGGGAAGAACACCUGUGGCGAAAGCGCUCUACUGGACCGCGACUGACACUGAUGGACGAAAGCUAGGGGAGCGAAUGGGAUUAGAUACCCUAGUAGUCC